CGCCCGCCAGCCCUGGUGGACAGUCCCAGGGACAGCCUCGCCCAGGGCGCAGGAAGGCGGCGGACACGGGAGACGCUAGAACCGGGGCUGGUGUGUGUGUUGUGUGUGGGCGCCCACCAGGCCCUGGCACCCCCCACUUCCUGGCAGGAGCUUUGGAGAACCUGGAAGACAGCUCCUGACAGAGACAUCAAAAGGGAAGGGGAGACAUCAAGAGACAGAGACCUGCAAAGUAGUUUCAUCACUUAUGAAGCUUCCAACACCACCACCCCCAGAGGUGGGGAGCCGGGCUUUGAACCCAUAUCCUUGUUGCAAUGUGUGCGCUCAACCAGCCCCCCUUAAACAGCCACUCUUUCCCUCAUUUUAGAGUCCUUUUCAGACCAUGGAAUUGAGAGACUGCUGACCCACAGCAAGACAAGACACUCUUUGGGGGGCUGCCCUGUGGAUGGCUCCAGAAGCUCUCAGAGUAGCGCCUCUCCUGUGUAACCUUGUCUUUGGGGACUUCCUUAUGGGGAGGGAGUGUCAGAGUACGAAGCUAAAGUGGAUUUAUCACGAGCUCUCUGCUUUCCCAGGGGUCGGGAGAGCACCUUUCCACCUGGCUCUGGGUUCUGGGGUGGGUUUGCUCCGUUUUG